GUAACAAACCUGCACAUUCUGCACAUGUAUCCCAGAACUUAAAACAAACAAACAAACAAAAAACAAAGAACUGUCACAAGCAAAAGUAUAUCACAAGCGAAAAUAUGUUUUUCUUGAAGACCAACAAGUUCAAAUAGAUCUCUUUGAAUUCUUUCUGAAGUGAACUUUUAAAAAGGGAAGGUUUAGGAAUGGAAGAGAAAAAAGAAAAGGAGACACCACUUUCUCAAUUAGGAGGAACCCUAAGGCCAUCUACUACUUACCCAUAAAGAAAGCAAGGUUUAUAGAAAAAAAACUGAGUGAGGAAAAGCCAGGUGCAAUACCACAUGCAUUCAAGGAACUUUAAAGAGUGCUUCUCAAAGAAAAGGGUCAGAGUGUGCCUUUGGGGCAGGUAGGAGGAUGAAAGAAUUUCAUCCCAGUCACUGCAGGCUGUGGCAUAAACUGAAAAAGGUUGAGAAAGUACUGCUUUAACCUUUUCACUAGUGACAUAAAAAACUCCAGCCCCCAGCAUUGUUGCUUACUUCUGUUAUCAGUAGGUAUCCUCUUUUGGAGGCAAAGUGAGGCAAGAAACACCUUGAGUUCCCUCAAGUGUACAGCCAGUAGCUUUUAUUUUGUCCUCCUGUUAACCCACAUGAAUUUAAUACUCCAACCAUGGGAUGUUGCUGUUUCAUUCAAAUGAGAUCAGAGUAUUAGAAAUACCCUAACUGGGCCAGGCACAGUGGCUCAUGCCUGUAAUCCCCAGCACUUUGAGGGGCCAAGACAGGUAGAUUGCCUGAUCUCACGGGUUCAAGACCAAACUGGGCAAAGUGGGGAAACUCUGUCACUAGAAAAUAUAUAAGAAUUAGCCAGACAUGGUGGUGCACACCUAUAAUCUCAGCUACUUAGGGGGCUGAGGUGUGAGGAUCACUUGAGCCCAGGAGGUGGAAGUUGCAGUCAUCCAUUCAGUUCACACCAUUCAGUUCACACCAUUGAAGUCCAGCCUGGGCGACAAAGCGAGACCCUGUCUCAAAGAAAAAAAAAAAAAUUUCCUAACUGUUUAUAAUCCUUACCACAGCUCCUUUGCAUCAUCCAGAGAUGGGCCAUAUAGCCCACUCAAGGCCUGGUGUUUCCCCUAGACACAUCAGAAAUAGGAUAGGACAAUAUUUUAACUGAAAUGACAUAUGACAACUCAAAACUAUGUAUGUGGCCAACUGGGAGCUAGCCUCUUAGAAUGAUCCAAAAACUGUUUAAUUUGGUUAGCACUUUUGAUAAUUAAAUACUGAAUGUGAAUGCCCUGAGGCAAUAGACAUGCUUACUCUGAUUUGCAAAAGCCAAAUACCUCUUCUAGAUUCUACGUUUCGCUACUUUAUUUUCCUGUCUCUGAACUCCCCAAUACACCUUGUAAUGUUUACUUUUAGGUGUCAACUUGACUGGAUUACUGAAUACAUAGAAACCUGGUAAAGCAUGAUUUUGGGGUGUGUCUGUGAGGGUGUUUACAGAAGAGAUUAGCAUGUGAGUGUGAGUGGACUAGGUGAGGAAGACCCUCCCUCAACGUGGGCAGGCACCAUCCAAUUUGCCAGGGCUGGAGAACAAAAACAGAGGAAAGACAAAUAUGUCCAUCUAUUUCCUAGAGCUGGGCUUCAUUCUUCCUCUCCUAUCCUUGGAUAUCAGAACUCCAGGACCUCUCCUAUCCUUGGAUAUCAGAACUCCAGGCUCCGGCCUUUGGACUCCAGGACUUAACACCAGCAGCUCCCAGAUUCUCAGGCAUUCAGCCUCCAACUGAGAGUUACACCAUUGGCUUUCCUGAUUUUGAUGCCUUCAGACUUGGUUUAAGCCAUGCUACCAGCAUCCCAGAGCCUCCAGUUUGCAGAUGGCCCGUUGGGAGACUUCCCACCCUCCAUAAUUAUUUGAAUGGCUCUGUUUUCCAUCAAUGAUGACAGCUUUUAAUCAUAGAUCUCAAGCCCAUUACGAACAUUAAUUAAUGUCUGACAUCGCUUAAUGAGAUGGAGCCUUGCCCUGUUGCCCAGGCUGGAGUGCCAUGG